GACAAACGCUGGCGGCGUGCCUAAUACAUGCAAGUCGAACAACGAAAGCCUUCGGGCAAGUAAGAGUGGCGCACGGGCGAGGAACACGUAGAUAAUCUGCCCUUCAGUGGGGAAUAACUCUCCGAAAGGAGUGCUAAUACCGCAUAAGACCACAAGCUCUGCGGAGCAAGGGGUUAAAGGAUUUAUUCACUGAAGGAUGAGUCUGCGUCCGAUUAGCUAGUUGGUGAGGUAAUGGCUUACCAAGGCAAUGAUCGGUAGAUGGUCUGAGAGGAUGAUCAUCCGCACUGGAACUGAGACACGGUCCAGACUCCUACGGGAGGCAGCAGUAGGGAAUAUUGCACGAUGGGGGAAACCCUGAUGCAGCAACGCCGCGUGAGUGAUGAAGGCUCUAGGGUCGUAAAGCCCUGUCGUAUGGGAAGAAAAAAAUGACGGUACCAUACAAGAAAGGACCGGCCAACUUCGUGCCAGCCGCCGCCGUAA
rnacentral:rRNA from 1 species